AGAGUUUGAUCCUGGCUCAGGAUGAACGCUAGCGGCAGGCCUAACACAUGCAAGUCGAACGGUAACAGGGAAAAGCUUGCUUUUCCGCUGACGAGUGGCGCACGGGUGCGCAACGCGUAUAGAACCUACCCUGUACAGGGGGAUAGCCCGGAGAAAUCCGGAUUAAUACCCCGUGGUAAUUAGAAUUGGCAUCGAUUUUAAUUUAAAGCUUCGGCGGUACGGGAUGGCUAUGCGUCCUAUUAGCUAGAUGGUAAGGUAACGGCUUACCAUGGCUAUGAUAGGUAGGGGCCCUGAGAGGGGGAUCCCCCACACUGGUACUGAGACACGGACCAGACUCCUACGGGAGGCAGCAGUGAGGAAUAUUGGUCAAUGGACGAGAGUCUGAACCAGCCAUGCCGCGUGCAGGAAGAAUGCCUUUGGGUUGUAAACUGCUUUUAUAUAGGAAGAACUGUAGAGACUUGUCUUUAUUUGACGGUACUAUAUGAAUAAGGACCGGCUAACUACGUGCCAGCAGCCGCGGUAAUACGUAGGGUCCGAGCGUUAUCCGGAAUUAUUGGGUUUAAAGGGUCCGUAGGCGGGCUUAUAAGUCAGAGGUGAAAUCUUACAGCUUAACUGUGAAAUUGCCUUUGAUACUGUAGGUCUUGAGUGUGAAUGAAGUGGGCGGAAUGAGAUGUGUAGCGGUGA
rnacentral:rRNA from 1 species